AUGUGGUGUGUAUGCAUAAUGUGCUGUGACUUCAGUGCAGUUGACACUGGUGUGUUUGGCAGGCCUGCCUGGACAGAAAUCCAGAAGCCUUCAAGCCGAAGAUUGGGAAAGGGAAGGAGGGAGAGUCAGACCGACGGCACAGCAAGGGCUGUAACUGCAAAAAUAAUGUGUUCCUCGAUAUGCAAGUGUAUUGGCUGUAAAAAUUUUGAAGAAAGCCCAGAAAGAAAGACACUGAUGCACUUGGCAGAUGCAGCUGAAGUUAGGGUGCAGCAGCAGACAGCGGCCAAGACCAAGCUGUCCUCUCAGAUUUCCGACCUGCUUACUCGGCCAGCGCCAGCUUUGAAUAGUGGAGGAGGAAAGUAAGUUUGCAUCUUCUAAAAGUCUUUCUAUAAUGUUUCUCAAAUUCUUAUUUUUGGUAAUGUUUCUUUUGGGGGAUUCAAAGCUGAGUUCAAAUCUGAAUUUUGUAUUUCUUUCCAUCUUUAGUUGUUUUUAAAGGAAUUUAAGGAUAACAGAAAAAUCACUGUCAGAUACGUUGUGCAAUUCUAAAAUACAAAGUGAUGCUUUAGUUUGUUGUGCUUAAUUUAAUUAGAUUUCUCCCUACUAAGAGGCAGUACUAUGUAAUUUGAG
rnacentral:lncRNA from 1 species